UCAUAUUUAGUUCUCCUAAUUAGCAUCCGAACAUCCGAUGUGACACUGUUAAAGUUUAACACCUCGUAUCCAAACACCCCCUUAGCAAGUUAGCAUGCUAUUUUUAAUUAAAAAAGGAAGUGUUAGCUGUUUUGAUUGUGAUGUUUAGCUGAUUUGCUGCCCGUGUGAUGCAGUGUACAGAAAGAAAGCUUACGGACUGAGCUUGCACAUUGUCUGCCUGACUUUGGGUCAACACCGCAUCCUGUCUUGCACAUUAAGAUUGUUGAAAUGGUCAUAUCAUUUAUAUUACACCGAAUACUUGCAUCAAUACCAGCCAUUUUGUUACAGUUGCAGGCAUGCGUUCACGAGGCCCUUUAUGGUGCGAUCAUGCAUAAACAAAAUCAUAUAUGGUUGUGACUUGCACUACCCUGGGAUAUCAAUAAUUGUAUUAGAAAAAUGAUUGGCUGACUGGUAAGAAAUUUCAUUAUCUGUUCAUAUGCUGAAUCAUCUGUGUCUAUUGAUCUGCACUUGUAAUUCCAUUCCCCGUCACAGCAUGCGUUAACCCAUGUUUUUUAUUUCCCUGAGUUCUACAAUAUGCCAAAUCAAAUGCUUCAGUAACUUAACUUUGUUUCUACUGGCUGCUAGGACUCAUUGCUAUAAUAUGUCAGGUUUUAUAAUAUUGAUCUGUGAGCUUCUAAUUCUUGUGGGCUUGCCGUAGUUCAAGGUUACACAUUUCAAACUUCAGGAGUACCUCCCCACAUGUAAACAUCAGUUCAAAUUGAUGAAAUGAUCUGUCUACAUCAACGGAUCCUUAAUUUCAGGCUUAUACUCUAUCUUAUGACUUGUUCGUCCUCGUUAUCCAUGUGUUGUGUACUUGUUUGCAGCUCAAGUUUCCCCUGAGGUCAAAGCCGAUGGGCGGCGACCUGACCUGACGAAGAAGCCGGAGUUUCCCACGCCGACGUUUCGUUCCCACCGCUUCGGAUGCGUGGCGCUAAAGCGAAGCACGCGUGGAGGCAACUGUAGCGCUACCAAACGGCCUCAGCCCCACAGUGCUAAAGUUGGGAAAAAGAGAACUAAACAAGACCAAGGUCUGGACUGACCAACAGAGGAGGAGAAUAUGCUUCCAGGUCAGUGAUCCAUCCAAUUCUGAAACUCCCAUCCCUUUGACGCUUUAUCCGUGUGUCGAAUCUGUCUCGAGAGUCGAUACUCAAACGCGGCUUCAUCAAGCAGCAAGGCGUCGAGAGGGCCUGCUCGAGCUCGACAUCCAAUCCCCAAGUCCUAGAACGAGCGGCAUCGCCGGGAAGCCAAAACGCCUCGUCGCAGCCAGGAAAAACCAUGGGUUUCGUCGCCGCGGAAGCAACCCGGCCGAAAUGUCAGCGUCGCAUGGGGCGCCGCACCACGGCAUGACGAGGAGGGGCGGGCGGAACGGAGGGGGACCGGCCGGGGACCCCCUCGCCGAAAGGGUCCGCGAGUCGGGGGCGAGUACCCGCCGUGCCGCCGAACGUGCAGUCGCCGCAGCCGUCACGCAACGCGAGAGCCAGCGCGAGCAGGCAGGCACGGGCACGGCGCCUUUGCCGUCGCGGCAAGCGCAUGGGCGAGCGCGGGCCGGUCGCGGCCGCUAGCUGCACGCUGCCGGCCGUCGCCACCCACGCGCGCGGCUGUCUCUCGCGUCGCGGCGCACGGGGGGAGGGAGGUCGGCUUCCUUCCCUGCUGGUGCUGCUGCCCGAUGCCAACGAGCGGGCGCUUGCCCUCACACUUCCCCUACUCCCCGACAGGGACGCCGUGCCUGCUUGGCAUCCAUCUCUGGUACUGCUACUGCGGCAUGCGUCAAGUUGUUGGAGCAUGCGCUGCGCUGUCGUGUGAGAGGUAAGUACGGAACGCCUUGAUCCGACACUUCUAGAACGUACGCGAUCCAUCUUUUUCUUGGCAUCCUGCGGGUGGAAAUUUGCGCCUGCACCUGCGGAUCACCUGUCGGGUCUCGAGCACCCGCAUCGUGUCAUUCGUGUGUUCAUACUUGAUGGCACAACAAAUACUACAUCAUCGUUAAUGCCUCUUAAUGGGUACAGCAAGAAUUUAGCACCCAGACUACGAUCUAAAGUAGCAAAUACAACUAAGCAAGAUGCCGAAACCAUAUUCCUCUCACAAUGGCAUAAAAAGAAACUAAGUCUGAAAUUUCAAAUUCAAACGACUAAAUGAACGUACUCUUUAUUUUAAGGCCUGGUAAAUACAUGCACGUGAAAACAAAUGUUUGCGCUCGACCCUCAUCCAUCUCGAGCCCUGACCCACUGGUGCGAUUUGACGCUCACACCCCUGCAGAUGAUGGGUAUCUAGACUCGACUGUCAUCUCUACGUAGAAGCAUAUAGGAAGAUAACAUUCU